rnacentral:rRNA from 1 species
ACGCUCGACACCUACGAGAGGCAGCAGUAGGGAAUCUUCCACAAUGGGCGCAAGCCUGAUGGAGCAACACCGCGUGAGUGAAGAAGGGUUUCGGCUCGUAAAGCUCUGUUGUUGGAGAAGAACGUGCGUGAGAGUAACUGUUCACGCAGUGACGGUAUCCAACCAGAAAGUCACGGCUAACUACGUCNCNNNCGCGAGUAUNGNGGCGNGNGAGAG